CCCUAAAACAGUUGAGAUUACCUGUGGUAAAUGAAACGCAUACAAACUCAUAUACAGGUCCUAGACUACUAAGACAAAGGCGACUAUAAACUGAUUGUAUUCCCUAUAAACUGAUUGUAUACGGUGUGCUACAAUGCUCUAGGACAAGGGAAUACAAUCGGUUAAUCCGAUUGUCGGCCUUGUCCUUGAGCAUUGUAGCACACCGUAUACAAUCAUGUAAUGUACACUAUAACUACUAUAGUGGAUUGAUACUAUAUGACAGUGAAAGAGAGACUUGGAGCAAGUCUAUAUACAGUACAGUAUAUAGUUGUUUAAAUUAGUAAAUUGCUACGUUAUUUACAUCAUUUUCAAGCCCAUAACAACGCCAAGUUACAACGUACGCGAAGUCGUUUUGGAUGUUAAAAAUGUCACAGAAUUCACUGACUUUUGCUGCUUACCCUUAAUUAAAAGAAGGAUAAGUACUUUUAAGAGGCAAGAUAAAGUUUAGUAAAGUGUGCUUUGGAUGGAAUGCAAAAAUGUAAGUAAUUUUGUUUUCUGCCUGCUAAUAAUUAGCCGUGUAUAAACUGGAACACAGCUAGCUCAUUGCAUUUCUUAAUUAAUUAGUUUUUGGGACACCUUGAAUGUAUAGCCACAGGUAGAAUAUAUGAGCAUGGCUUCGAAAUUACACGAUAAAGAACAAUUUCAAUUUGAUCGAGGUCCUCGCAUGUGAAAAACUCACAAGCUAUAUAAAUAUGUAUUGUUUUUUAAACUGCAUGACAAUUUAUGCUAUAAUUUAUUAAUGACGUACUUGAAAAAAAUUGAUCAGAUUAUAAGGCGAAGAAAGUUUUUUCAUCAAAUGUUAUAUGCAAAUAUAACGUAACUCAUAAAUAAUGUAACUCAAG